rnacentral:rRNA from 1 species
GACGAACGCUGGCGGCGUGCUUAACACAUGCAAGUCGAACGGAAAGGCCCUGCUUUUGUGGGGUGCUCGAGUGGCGAACGGGUGAGUAACACGUGAGUAACCUGCCCUUGACUUUGGGAUAACUUCAGGAAACUGGGGCUAAUACCGGAUAGGAGCUCCUGCUGCAUGGUGGGGGUUGGAAAGUUUCGGCGGUUGGGGAUGGACUCGCGGCUUAUCAGCUUGUUGGUGGGGUAGUGGCUUACCAAGGCUUUGACGGGUAGCCGGCCUGAGAGGGUGACCGGCCACAGUGGGACGGGAAUACGGCCCAGGCCCCUACGGGGGGCAGGAGGGGGGAAUAUUGCAAAAGGGGGGGAAGCAUGAUGCAGAAACGCCGCGGGGGGGAUGAGGGCCUUCGGGUUGUAAACCGCUUUCGCCGGUGACGAAGCGGGGGGGACGGGAAGUGGGAAAGAAGCACCGGCUAACUACGU